rnacentral:rRNA from 1 species
GACGGAGGGUGCUAGCGUUGUUCGGAAUCACUGGGCGUAAAGGGCGCGUAGGCGGCUUCAGGUGUCGGAUGUGAAAGCCCGGGGCUCAACUCCGGAGGUGCAUCCGAAACUCUGAGGCUGGAGGCCGGAAGAGGAGGGUGGAAUACCCAGUGUAGAGGUGAAAUUCGUAGAUAUUGGGUGGAACACCGGUGGCGAAAGCGGCUCUCUGGUCCGGUCCUGACGCUGAGGCGCGAAAGCGUGGGGAGCAAACAGG